AUGCAGGUGGGAAAUCACCGUUGUUUCUCCCGUCUCUUCAGCCCCCGGGGGUGGUGUGGCGAGUCGCUGCUUUCUCUGCGCUCCUUUUGCUGCCGUGCCCCCACCGCUGCAGGCUCUGAGCUCCACCAAACGCCUCCGUCUCCCCGGCGAGGUGCCGGCAGCGGGGUCAGGUCAGGACUGCCCCCAGGAACCGCUGCAGGAGGCUGGAGAAAACGCAGCUCGGCCCCGCGUUGCCGCAGCUGGUGGUGGAAGCUGCACGGCACACCUUGUGCCGCUCGGCUGGGCAAUCGCCGGUUCUGUCCGAUGCAGCGCAGAUGGCUCAUUUUACCCUCCAAAACCCCUCCUAGGAGGCACAGGUAUUCCCGCUGCCCAGCUCUGCCCUGCAGUCCCACCUGGCCGCCGAGCCGCUGGGCAAAGGAUGCGCGCGCCUGCUGGCUGCCCAGCCACCUUCCCAGCUGUGUCCUCGCCUGCUUGGAGCGCCCAAACAAAAUGCUGCAAGGGAGCCAAGUUAAACAGCGCUUGGUUAUCGCUUUGUUAAGCAAAGAGAAACUGAAAGAGAGAAGUGUUUUCCUUUGGUUUUGUUAUUUCUCUUUUGGCCCAGUAUUUCCUUUUUUUUUUUGCUUUGCUGAAGGAGCCACCGCCAGCGCCCGAGGCUGUGAGGGUUCGCUCCCAGCAGCUCCGGACCCGACGGCUUUUCUGACAGCAGCCGCUGGGUCUGCUGAGGGGACACGGGACCAUGCCAAAGCUUGGAGGAGGGGGAUUUGGGAAUUGGAGGGGGCAAGUGUCUUUUUUUGUUGUUUGUUUGAAGAGUUCUGCUUUCUGGGUUUCACAUCUUGCUCCCAGGCAGUUCCUGUCCUCCAGCACCCCGCGCAGAGCGCCGUCAGGGUGCUGGGAGGACGGUUCGCUAACCGCAGGGACGAGCUGCAGCUGCUUGUCUCAGCUGCUCAGAGCAGCACCCCCGUGCCCACGGAGCUGCUCCAGAAGGCACGGGAGGAGGAGCGCUUCCAAUGCUCGCGGUCCCCCUUCUGCCUGGGCUGGGGUCUCCUCUGCCAGCGCCCAUCCUCAGCCACGUGGGACACGAGCAGCCAGGGGCACCUCAAGCUCGGACGUGGCAGAGUCCGGCUGCGGCCAGGACUGGUGGUGGGAGCCCUCAAGGGAGAAACGCCCAAGAAAUAA
rnacentral:lncRNA from 1 species